rnacentral:rRNA from 1 species
CAUAGCCUUUAGCAAAACAAGUAUUAAAGGUCCCGCCUGCCCAGUGACCCAGUUAAACGGCCGCGGUACCCUAACCGUGCAAAGGUAGCAUAAUCACUUGUCCCCUAAAUAGGGACUAGAAUGAACGGCUAAAUGAGGACUUAACUGUCUCCUUUGGGCCUCCAAUGAAACUGAUCUUCUAGUACAAAAGCUAGAACACACCCAUAAGACGAGAAGACCCUGUGGAGCUUAAAACACACACAUUACACUACAACGCCGACAUAGCACGACCCCUAAUGUAAAAGUAAUAACGUUUUCAGUUGGGGCGACUACGGAGCAAAACAAAACCUCCACGAUUACUAAGGCUCACACCCAAAUACAGCAAACCAGCUUACACACUUGACCCAGUACCACUGACCAACGAACCUAGUUACCCCAGGGAUAACAGCGCCAUCCCCUUAAAGAGUCCAUAUCGCCAAGGGGGCUUACGACCUCGAUGUUGGAUCAGGACCCCCAGGCGGCGCAGCCACUGCCAACGGUUCGUUUGUUCAACGACUAAUGUCCUACGUGAUC